rnacentral:tRNA from 1 species
GCAUUGGUGGUUCAGUGGUAGAAUUCUCGCCUUCCACGCCGGAGACUCGGGUUCAAUAUCAGGCCAAUGCA